UGCAUAUCAAAAAAGCGGAGGAAAAGAAACCAACAGGGAUUGCCUCAGUAACGGCGAGUGAAGCGGCAAAAGCUCAAAUUUGAAACCCUCGGGAUUGUAAUUUGAAGAUUUGGCAUUGGAGAAAGCUAACCCAAGUUACUUGGAAUAGUACGUCAUAGAGGGUGACAACCCCGUCUGGCUAACCGUUCUCCAUGUAUUGCCUUAUCAAAGAGUCGAGUUGUUUGGGAAUGCAGCUCAAAGUGGGUGGUAAACUCCAUCUAAAGCUAAAUACUGGUGAGAGACCGAUAGCGAACAAGUACUGUGAAGGAAAGGUGAAAAGAACUUUGAAAAGAGAGUGAAAUAGUAUGUGAAAUUGUUGAUAGGGAAGGAAAUGAGUGGAGAGUGGUUUAGGUUUCAGCCUUCUUUCGAGGGGGUGCACUACCAACGCCGAGUCAUUGAUAGCGAGACAGGGGUUAUAAACGGACGGCACUUGUGCUAUUCUCCUAACCCCUCUACUGCCACCAACGACAUAAUCCACCCAUUUCACCCGUCUUGAAACACGG
rnacentral:rRNA from 1 species